rnacentral:rRNA from 1 species
UACAGAGGUCUCAAGCGUUUGUUCGGAUUCAUUGGGCGUAAAGGGUGCGUAGGUGGCGUGGUAAGUCGGGGUGUGAAAUCUCGGGCUUAACUCCGAAACUGCAUUCGAUACUGCCGUGCUUGAGGACUGGAGAGGAGACUGGAAUUUACGGUGUAGCGGUGAAAUGCGUAGAUAUUCGCAAGAACACCAGUGGCGGAAGGCGGCUCACUGGCCCG